GAAGCGAAGCCGCGAGGCAGAGCAAAUCUGAAAAAAGACAUCCCUAGUUCGGAUUGUAGGCUGCAACUCGCCUACAUGAAGCUGGAAUUGCUAGUAAUCACAGGUCAGCAUACUGUGGUGAAUACGUUCCCGGGCCUUGUACACACCGCCCGUCACACCAUGAGAGUUGAGAAUACCCGAAGUCCAUGUCAAAGUGGCCGAAGGUAGGCUUGAUGACUGGGGUGAAGUCGUAACAAGGUAAC
rnacentral:rRNA from 1 species